rnacentral:lncRNA from 7 species
ACUGUGAGCCAAACUCAGCUGCUGUUCAUUUGGUGCUGCUUUCCUUUAUGCUUUAGGAUGGCAGUGGAUAUGACUCAUGUCAGUGGAUAUGUCUAUCUGAAUCCAGAUGACCUGUGGAGAAAUGCUGCAGAAGAAGGGAAAUGGAUUGUUGCCUAACUGGAUUAAAGCAUCUCCUGCUUUAUGGACAGACUCUGAUAUGCAGUGAAACAUGGUCUGGAGGCAAUUUUGUUUCAUACCAAUGCAAAGCGCAACCUCAAUUGUUAAAAGGCACACGUAUACUUGUGCUGGACUUGGGAACAGUGGCUGUAGAGAUUAUUACCAGUCCAAUUACCAGCUCUGGUAGAAGCUACUGCCUGGGAUGAUCAAAUAUUAUCUUCAUUUGCUUUGGCGACCUAUGAUGUUACCAGCUGACCUUAAGAGAUUCUUCUGCUCGUCUGGUCUCUUAUACAGAAAUCAAAUUUUAUCUGCUUCCAGACUGAGACUGUUCAUGAAGCAGAAAAACUAUACCAAAGCAAAACCUGACUAAACAAAACAAGUAUCAACUUCAAAAACAAUGAUUUCUUGGAGCAGCUACAAUGCCUGGAAGAGGGUCUCCAUGUAGUUUGGUAAGUGCCAUAGUUUAGGAAAGGGGCAGAGAGGAUCACAUGGUCAAAAAUGUGCCACUUAUCCCAUAACUUGUAUCCAUUUAAACUUUCAUGCAACUGGAUGUCAAGGAACAGCAGGUCUGGCUAUGGAACAGGGUUUGGGGCGGCAGGAGUUUGGGGUGGCAGCAAAACCAGUGGGACAGUGUCCUCACUCUGAUGGGACACAGCCCCACGGUGACCCAGCAGAAGAGUAGUGCACGUCUGGUGUCAGUACCAGGGUCACACACAGCCCAGACCACCAGGCAGAUGCAUGGGGCAGGUUCGAGGACAAGCUUGGGCACCGAGUAAGGUCAGAUCAAUGAGGUGUGUGGCCAGCACAAGCAUGCUCACAGGGAGCCUGGGCAAAUGGAGCUUAUAGAGCAUGCUGGUGCCCACACGGUAGGGCGCUGGAUGCGAGAAAUGAGGCCAUAAACUCGUGUUGUAACUACAAAGCUAUAUUAGUUGGCUGAGCUCUCUCUAUACCCUUCUCACUCUUGUUCACUGCAACCUCACUGUUCAAUUUCUGAUGAUUUCAGCCAUGCUCCUGGCCAAUAUGUCAGGUGCUCAAUCAGGCCCCUGAAGUCACGCAUGUUAAAAAAAUAACAAAACAACAGUAAAGAACCUCUCCAGACCUUUUAAUCAUCUGCAAACAGCUAUUCACAUAACAUAAGUAAAUAGUUGUUGGGAAGAGUGUUGAGAACACAGGAACUUCUUAAAUUACCUUCACUGACAAAGAAAACGUACAGUCUAGGCAAACCUUCAGGCACAAAAAAUGUCCACUGUGUACUUUAACCUCUUAAUAUUGGUAGUCCUUUUCCUGUUACACUACAUGUGUUUAAUUUGCCAAUGUGUAGCAUGUUGUUUUGUAUCAGCAGUGCUAGCAAAGAGCUUUAAAAUGCUUACAAGAAAACUAUGUCAAGGACGAAACGAAAGAAAGAAAGAAAAAAAAAGUAAGGAAUAGGUGGGCAUCUGUGUGAAAUUGCUUCCACUCUCUGCCUCUCAUGUUUUCAAGCUCAUGAAAUGUAUUCCAGUACUUCAGGUCAUUUUACUUAGGUCAGGUUCCAUAAUGUUACACAGUUAAUGCAGAAGACCAAUAACGACAUAGACUGAUGAUUGUCAGUGAGAUGUAACUUAGAAGGUACAUAUAACCAGAAGUACUUACCUAGGAAUGUGUUGAGGAGAUUUAUUUGACAUAUAGAUAUAUUAUAUAACUUGAAUGUGCUGCAUUGUCACCACUAACAGCAAAAACAGCAACAACUUUUACUGCCUGAAGUUUUGUCUGGCAUUGCACAGUAAUUAUCUGACCUGUCUCUCGGGUCACUGUAUGCUGUGGUUUUAUUGCAAGCUGUUUGAAACUACUGCAAUUAUUAAACAUAUUAUGGC